rnacentral:rRNA from 1 species
UACAGAGGUCUCAAGCGUUGUUCGGAUUCAUUGGGCGUAAAGGGUGUGUAGGUGGCGCGUUAAGUCGGGUGUGAAAUUUCGGAGCUUAACUCCGAAACUGCAUUCGAUACUGGCGUGCUUGAGGACUGGAGAGGAGACUGGAAUUUACGGUGUAGCAGUGAAAUGCGUAGAUAUCGUAAGGAAGACCAGUGGCGAAGGCGGGUCUCUGGACAGUUCCUGACACUGAGACACGAAGGCCAGGGGAGCAAACGGG